UCGCUCGGUCCACUUCCUGGCCGAACCUCUUAAUUUUUUCCCUUUAUUUAUAAUAUCGCCUAAAUGCGAGGGCUAACUUAAAUCUUAGCUAAGGACUUCCCUAGUCAUUAAUAGCCUAGAUCCUUUCAACAGAUACGCAGCGGAAUAUUCUCUAGUUAACCAAUGGUCUAAAACCAAUCUAACACUUGUCUGGUCGAAUCACCUUAGCCUU
rnacentral:lncRNA from 1 species